rnacentral:rRNA from 1 species
GCAGCGACGCCGUGUGAGGGAUGAAGUCUUUCGGGUCKUAAANCUCUGUCGGAAGGGAAGAACGGGCAUUGGUCUAAUAGGCCUUUGUWUUGACGGUACCUUUAGAGGAAGCACCGGCUAACUCCGUGCCAGCAGCCGCGGUAAUACGGAGNNUGCAAGCGUUAUUCGGAAUUACUGGGCGUAAAGCGCACGUAGGCGGCCUUGUAAGUCAGGGGUGAAAUCCCACGGCUCAACCGUGGAACUGCCUUUGAAACUGCAGGGCUUGAAUCCUGGAGAGGGUGGCGGAAUUCCUGGUGUAGGAGUGAAAUCCGUAGAUAUCAGGAGGAACACCGGUGGCGAAGGCGGCCACCUGGACAGGUAUUGACGCUGAGGUGCGAAAGUGUGGGGAGCAAACAGGAUUAGAUACCCUGGUAGUCCACACCKKAAAHGAUGGAUACUAGGUGUCGGGGACUUGAUCUUCGGUGCCGUAGCUAACGCGUUAAGUAUCCCGCCUGGGGAGUACGGUCGCAAGGCUGAAACUCHAAGGA